rnacentral:lncRNA from 1 species
CUGCAAGGGAGACUCAAGCUGUUGCUAAGAGACAGUUGGGUCUGGUUCUGGCUCCAUCUCUCUGGUUCACUUGGAGGGGACUGGCUGCCUUCCCUUGGUGGCUGUUUUCUAUCUGGUCUUCUCCAUCCUACCGGCUUCUCGGCUGGCUGGUUGAUAACUACAAAGUUUCCUGGUGUGAUCCUGAACUGUCUGGGCAUCUGCCUAGGGAUACCUAUAGAUGAUGAAGUCCUCAAUGCUCCCACCUGUAGAUGACAUGAUGCUGGAUAUAUCAAGUCCGAGAACACUAUUUGACAACUCCCUAAGAGUAAUCCAUGAUUAUUCAAAAGACAUUGGUUUAACAUUCCAUCCUGGGAACAAAAAUGAUUGAAAAAAUGCCUGUUGUCCAGACACAUAGAAGACUGAUUCAUGAAAAUUUGCCAGAGAUUGUAUUCCAUGAGAGUAUGUAUGAAAUCAUUGAGAACUCUCCAUAGUAAUGGAGCACCAGAGGAAGAUUUAUGGUUGUUUUUUGGAGAAUGCCAAUGGAAUAGAGGAUUUUUUCCUUUAAAGAACCUUGAGCCUGGGGGAAAGUAUCAAAAAGAGAAUACCUUAUGUCUACUCCCCAGUGAUAUGGACACAUUUGGAAGAUGAUUUCUUAGCGUCCAGCUUGAUAAAGCAAGCAUCUUAUUAUUGCUCUCAUUAUGUUUGAGUAUGCUGCUCUAAUCACUUCAUUCUUUUUUUCAAGGUUAAAGGGGUGCUUUUGACGAGUAUGUACUGUUCUCUGGUUGCUAUGGAAAAGAAUGCAUGCUGGUAACUUUCAUCAGCUUUCAUGGAAGUUUAUGUGCACUUAACUCAAUAUAAACAAAAUGCUUCAAUUUUGUGCUUUCUGCAGACCCUUUUUUAUCAUUAAUCACCUUGAUUUAACUGAUGCCAAAACUCACAUGCCUUAAUACUAUUUUUGUUGUUUCAUAAAUUUUUAUAUCUACCUUGUGAAAAAAAUGUUGGAAGAGAUAAAGUUUCAUUAGUCUAUCUUUUGUUUAGUGUGGUUAGCUAUAUGAGCAUUACUGAGGCAACUGUGAAAUUCUUUUCCAAUUAUUUUAAUGUAAUCUGAGUAAAAAGAAAAACCCAAGUGCAUUACAUUACAUUGACCAUAAGAUGUUGAUUGGACUAAAACAGGAUGAACCCGGACAAGUAUUCAAAGAUACAAAGUCUUUUAAAAGAUCUCCAAAACUCCUUCCACAGUAAUAUUAAAGUUCCCCAAAGAGCAUUUCACAGUUAGGCAGUGACUAGAAAAAUAGGGUUCACGGAGGGAGUUCCAAGUCCUUCCUUAGGGACUAGCUAAGAGUUUGUCCUGAAGCUCAAACUUUGUUUUUCAAAUUUCCUUUAUGUAAAAAUGAGACUGUUUGGGGGUAAUAAUGGAGGAGGGUGAAUUUGUAAAGUGUUUUUUCAUGUGUAAAAACACUACUCACAUUUUUAUAUAACAUUACUACCAAAGCAGCAUGGAAAGC